rnacentral:rRNA from 1 species
GACGUAGGGCGCGAGCGUUGUCCGGAUUUAUUGGGCGUAAAGAGCUCGUAGGCGGCUUGUCGCGUCGUCCGUGAAAACUUGGGGCUCAACCCCAAGCUUGCGGUCGAUACGGGCAGGCUAGAGUUCGGUAGGGGAGACUGGAAUUCCUGGUGUAGCGGUGGAAUGCGCAGAUAUCAGGAGGAACACCAAUGGCGAAGGCAGGUCUCUGGACGACUCCUGACACUGAGGCACGAAAGCUAGGGGAGCAAACAGG